rnacentral:pre_miRNA from 1 species
AUUUAAGGCAAUCUUUAUCUAUAAACAGGGACAAAAUUAUUCUAAAAGAAAUAACUCCUAGAUGUUUCUUCUUUUCAGCUAAACAUUUUUU